CGCGGGCCAUGUCCGCCUUCUGCCUGGGCUUGGCCGGCCGAGCUUCAGCACCCGCCGAGCCGGACAGCGCCUGCUGCAUGGAGCUGCCCGCUGGGGCCGGGGACGCAGUCGGGAGUCCCGCCGCCGCGGCCGCCGCCGCCCUCGUCUCUUUCCCCGGGGGCCCCGGGGAACUGGAACUGGCCUUAGAGGAGGAGCUGGUGUUGCUGGCGGCCGGGGAGCGGUCGUCCGAUCCCGGGGAGCAUCUACAGGCGGAGCCGGGGUCUCCGGCGGAGGGGCACGGGCCGCCUCCGUCCACCCAGGAUCCCGAGCUGCUGUCGGUGAUCCGACAGAAGGAGAAGGACUUAGUGCUGGCGGCCCGGCUAGGCAAGGCACUGCUCGAGAGGAACCAGGACAUGAGCCGACAGUACGAGCAGAUGCACAAGGAGCUCACCGACAAGCUGGAGCACUUAGAACAAGAGAAACAUGAACUGAGAAGACGGUUUGAGAAUCGGGAAGGGGAGUGGGAAGGACGAGUGUCAGAGCUGGAGACCGAUGUGAAGCAGCUGCAGGACGAGCUGGAACGGCAGCAGGUCCAUCUUCGGGAAGCAGACCGAGAAAAAACACGAGCCGUCCAGGAGCUGUCAGAACAGAACCAGAGGUUAUUGGAUCAACUCAGCAGGGCAUCUGAAGUUGAAAAACAGCUCUCCAUGCAGGUCCAUGCACUCAGAGAAGACUUUCGGGAGAAAAAUUCAUCCACCAACCAGCACAUCAUCCGCCUGGAGAGCCUUCAGGCCGAGCAGGUUCUUGAAAUCAAGAUGCUGUCGGAUCGAAAACGGGAGUUGGAGCAUCGGCUCAGCACCACUUUAGAGGAGAACGACCUGCUUCAAGGGACUGUAGAGGAGCUACAGGACCGAGUGCUGAUCCUAGAAAGGCAGAGCCAUGACAAAGACCUGCAGCUGCACCAAAGCCAGCUGGAGCUGCAGGAGGUACGGCUGUCCUACAGGCAGCUGCAGGUGAAAGUGGAAGAGCUCACGGAGGAGAGGAGCCUGCAGAGCUCGGCUGCUACCAGCACGUCCCUGCUGUCAGAGAUCGAGCAAAGCAUGGAGGCCGAGGAGCUGGAGCAGGAGAGAGAGCAGCUGAGACUGCAGCUCUGGGAAGCCUACUGCCAGGUCCGCUAUCUCUGCUCACACCUUCGAGGAAACGACAGUGCCGAUUCAGCCGUGUCCACAGAUUCCUCCAUGGAUGAGUCCUCAGAAACCUCCUCCGCCAAGGACGUGCCUGCUGGCAGCCUGCGCACUGCCCUCAGUGAUCUCAAGAGACUGAUACAGAGCACUGUAGAUGGCAUGGAGCCCACGGGCACCCGGAGAAUGGACGAUGACUCACUGGAAGAACAGAUAAGGCAGACCAGUGAGGACUCAAGAGCCCUGAGGGAGCUCAUGGAGGGAGAGAGGGGUAAACUGAGGCAGAGCCUAGAAGAGCUGCAGCAACUCCACAGUCAGGUGACACUGCUGAGUGUGGAGAUGACUGCUCUGAAGGAAGAGAGGGACCGACUCAGAGUGACAUCUGAGGACAAGGAGCCAAAGGAGCAGCUUCAGAAGGCCAUCAGGGACCGGGAUGAGGCUAUUGCAAAGAAGAACGCCGUAGAGCUAGAACUCGCCAAGUGCAAGAUGGACAUGAUGUCCCUCAACAGCCAGCUGUUGGAUGCCAUUCAGCAAAAGCUGAAUCUCUCACAGCAGCUUGAGGCUUGGCAGUUUGCUUCCUCAGGGCUUUUUACUAUCUGGCUCCUUUGGUUUCUGAUCUAGUGGCCUUUCUCAGUUCCUGUACCAACAGCUUUAGUUGUACACCCCUCCUGCCUUUGAGGAUGACAUGCACAGGGUCAUUGACAGGCAGCUGAUGGAUACGCAGCUGAAGGAACAGGGCCGGCCUGCUGCUGCCUUCUCUAGGGGCCACGGCGUAGGACGGGGGCAGGAACCCAGCACCAUGGAUGGCAAACGGCUCUUCUCCUUCUUCAGGAAAAUUUAAGUGGGGAGAAGUCAGGCUGUUGAGAAUAGGGGAGUAGAGGCAGUUGAAAAGGGUCUCCCGUCAACUGGAGCUGGGCAGCUGUACUGCCGGCCCGGCUGCCCUGGGGCCAGUUGGGUCUUGAGAACCCACUCCCUUUUGUCAGUGCAAUGGAGACUGAGAAGUAGGGGACCUGCCUUGUCCUCUGAAAGCUGCUCCCUACCAAGGGACAGUAAUGAACCCUAUCCCCACUGCCUAAGCCAAGCCUCAGCCUGGGCUUCCCCAGGAUCCUUGUUAGUGAGUAGGGCUCAAGUCACUUCCCGUGCAGUCCAUCGAUGGGCUCUGCCACUCAGACCCAGCUGAUCACAGCCCACACUACAGGCUUUUCUGCCUCCUUGGAUUUUGAACAUGGGGACAGAGAUUGAGGCCCUCCUGUGCAUGCCUCAGGAGGCCUGAGCCUCCACUCCUGCCCCAGCUACUUGCCUAGAGUAAGGGGAGGCAUAACCCCCACCCAUGUGCAUGCCCUCUGCUGGAGUCCCUGUACAGCAGGAGCCCCAGCCUUUGGCUGUGGGACUUAAGAACUGGGUUACCCAAGUUCUGUUGAGGCCACUCUGUAUCGCAGGGAAGGUCCUGUCUUCUGGCUGCCAGCACACCUCAGCUUCCUCCAGUGCAGGCAGUCCUUAACCCUAGUGAGGUCUGGGCCCGGCAGCAUCCCGCUAGCCCUCUAUAGGCUCUAGCUUCCAGACUUCCCCUCUGGGGUAGGGCUGGGAGAGCACUUGUCUUCCACAGCUCCCUCCCACCUCAAAUACAAUGGCCCAAGCCAAC